rnacentral:rRNA from 1 species
AUGCAACGCGAAAAACCUUACCUACCCUUGACAUGUCUGGAAUGCCGAAGAGAUUUGGCAGUGCUCGCAAGAGAACCGGAACACAGGUGCUGCAUGGCUGUCGUCAGCCCGUGUCGUGAGAUGUUGGGUUAAGUCCCGCAACGAGCGCAACCCUUGUCAUUAGUUGCUACGAAAGGGCACUCUAAUGAGACUGCCGGUGACAAACCGGAGGAAGGUGGGGAUGACGUCAAGUCCUCAUGGCCCUUAUGGGUAGGGCUUCACACGUCAUACAAUGGUCGGGACAGAGGGUCGCCAACCCGCGAGGGGGAGCCAAUCCCAGAAACCCGAUCGUAGUCCGGAUCGCAGUCUGCAACUCGACUGCGUGAAGUCGGAAUCGCUAGUAAUCGCGGAUCAGCAUGUCGCGGUGAAUACGUUCCCGGGUCUUGUACACACCGCCCGUCACACCAUGGGAGUGGGUUUUACCAGAAGUAGUUAGCCUAACCGCAAGGGGGGCGAUUACCACGGUAGGAUUCAUGACUGGGGUGAAGUCGUAACAAGGUAGCCGUAA